GUUUGCGGGCCCAAAUCUGGAGGGGGGGGGACAGAAGUAAGAAAGGUAGUGAGGCCAGGAGAGAGAGAGAGAAAGAGAGAGAGAGAGCGAGCAGGGGACCCUGGCGCUCACUUUGCCACUUCCUGCAUUUGGGAGGUCCCUCUGGCCUGCUCUAUCCCAGGCCCGGUGCAUUCUAGACGGGGCAUGUGGCCCUGGCCAAGUCUGCCCCCCUCUCAGAUCAGCGUAUAGUGGGAGGGAAUCCCAAAGGAGGCCAAGUCCCCUCCCUGCCUCGCGAGGGAAAUCCCUAGAAAAAGCUGAAUCAGCUCCUGUUCCCUCCUUGCCAGGGCAAAGUUAAACACAGGCACCUCCCACCCCCGGGGAACUUUGUCCCCAGCCCUGAAAUCAGCUCAGACAGAAGACAACCGACUGAGGGAAAGUGCACCGCCUGACAGGAAAGCAGCCGGGUCAUGAGGUUCGGGCCACCACAACAGCGGACGUAGCCUGCUCCUGCCCUGUGCGCUGGGUGAGCGGACGUGAGCAUGAAUGGCAGCAGUCACUGGUCAGUAGCCUCGUGCUCCCUGCCACGGGGCCCCCUCCUCCUCGGCGCCCCGCAGCGGAACCCGAGCACCGAGGGAGCGGCGCAAAGCCGGACGGGCCGGGAGCUGGUGGGCCUCCCGGAAGUGGGCCUCCCGGAGGGGUUUCCCCCAGCCUCUCUCCCCACCCAACCCUGCCCCGGCCCGGGGCCGCGAACCCACCUGCCCCAGCGCGGCUGCGGCCAUGGUCGGUGCGGCGGGCAAACUGUACCCGCCCGGGGCGCCGCCCAGAAGAAAGACGUUCCGGCCCCGCCCCGCUCACGCCCCCCGACGCGGGAGGGCCCCUCCUCUGACACCCCAGGCCGGCCGGGCCUCCCCGAUUAUAGGGCGCCCACGGGGAGCUGGGCCCUGCGGGAGAGCGCAUGCGCUGGAAUCCGCGAGGCGAAGGGGAGUCCUUUGAAAUCCGCCCUCCUCCCCACCCCCACCCAGUUUCUGUUCCAGCCACGCAACUGGGGUACCAGAACGUACGUGGAAGUUUUGUUUCUGUUCGUUCUUUCGCUUUCAUGCAUUUUAAUAGGUACUGUCACGGAACGCUAACGAGGAUAAGCAGUUCGAGGUGAGAGAGGAAAGGCCAGGAACACAAAGAAACCUCCGCAUAUCUCGAUCCCUGGGUGAUAAGGAAAAGCUCUCGCUGUAAACGUCUGUAAAUAGAUCACGUAAAUGAGAAAGGACUUGGGAAAAAGGCCUCGGAAGAGGGUAGCAGGAGAUCCAACGCACGUGGUUCAUCAUGCCUCCUUCCAGUCCCUGUCAUCAGCGAGGCCCGGAAAAUUUUAAUCCCCCACCGCGUCAGUGAGCCUCUAAGAACAGCCCCUCAGGCAGGGUUCCCUGGUUAUGCCCCUUCAUGAGUGUCUCCCCACCCACAGGACCCCGAAGGACAGAGUUAGCUAAUCACAGCGCACCAGGAUCCACCUAAUCCCUAGCGAUUCAAACCUGCAUCAGUGCCCCCUAUACCGAACUCCUCGGCCACUGUGGCCCCAAAACCAUCCGUGGUCAGAGUUUCCCCCAACUCCUGCAUCCGGGUUACUGUGACACCGAAAUGUUCGCGCUGUGUCCUCAGACUCCGAUUCCUGGGCCGCUGUGCCUCCGUAAUCCCACCCUGGGAUAUUUUGCCCCCAAAUUCUGUCCCCCGGCCCUAAGAGCCACAGGUCUCGGCAAAUUCCCAAGCCUCCUCCUCCUCAGAGUCCCGUUUGCUUCCCUCCGCCCCGGUCCUCCUCGGCCACCACCUGGCCCGGGGCCCGGGGCCCGGGGGCCGCGACCGCGCCCGGCUCGCCUCGGCCAAUCAGCGACUGCCGCACACCCCCGCCGCGGCCAAUCCGCAGCAGCUAUGCAGCCCCACCCCCUGGCCGGGGAGACUAACCCCCUACCGCGCCCCGCGCCCCGCGCCCCAGCGGGAACCCAGGGCCCGCUCUUCCUUAGCUAGGGAGUCCACGCCCUCUAAGUUUCCCCGUCCCCCAAACCCAGGAGUUCGGGCCCCAGCCCCUCCUCCCUCUGACUCAGAGGAGUCUGAACCCCAGCUGCCUCUUCCCUCAGAACUUGUGGAGCCCACCACCCUCCUAUUCCUCAGCCGGCGAGGUCAAAAUUCCUUUCCCCUGAGGACCAAGAAUAACCAAGAGGAGGCCCUUUCGUUUCGCCUCCUCUACCAUUAUCUCCUAAUAGAGCUUAAUUUACUCUCCCCUGCGGGCCUUUUUAUUAGCAGGGGUGAAGCCGACCGGCAAUACUUUUCUCAGGAGCCCUCCGGGACGGGCUCCUGCUGCAAGGCCUGCCGGGAGUCGUAGUCCCUGGGGGCAAGACCACUCGUGGGAACGCGUGGGGCUGCAAGGGGCGGGGCGGGGGGCGGGGGUUGGCGGGACGCGCUCCCGGCGUGGCAGAACUCAAAAGAGCAGAUCAAUGACAUGAAGCCUUCUUCCUUCUGGCUGCAAACUACUUUUAUGGGAACCUGCGGGGGGUGGUUUGGCACGUUGGUUAGUGGACUUAAUGUCUAGAGUUGGGGUGUGCAAUCUAAGAAGCAGGUGGGUCGAGGCUGAAAUUUGGGAGUCCUAGUUAGGAAGGCCCAAGUGGAAACGUGAGAAAUCAGGAAGGGUUGGUGGGGGGCUCCAAGGGGGUGCCGGGAAUGGCCUUGCACCCGUACCCCAGCUCUGCACCCCCGGUCACAAACAGCUCAGUCCCAGUGCAGAAGUUGGCCUCAGAGGCCAGGAACACGGCUGCCGCUCCCACGUCGGCUGGCUGGCCCAUGCGACCCAGGGGCUGGGGAGAGACAAGGGAAAAAGGAGAUCAAGGGAAGCCCCCGCCUGACUGCGACACCCGAAGCCUCCCAUACCACAUGGCUCUGGCCCCCCCACUCCUACCUGGGCCAGUAUGCCUUCUCGGAUUGUGGCUGUGGGGUCAGGCGUGGCGGCGGCCAGCUCCUCCCACAGUGGGGUCCAGAUGUUUCCCGGGGAGAUACUGUGGGGAGGGAGAAGAGGGGAUCAGGGAAGUGUGCCACAAACACGGCCUCGUGGGCUCACUUCCUGCCUUCUCCGCCCAUUGGAGCUGCUCACCAGUUGACCCGGACGCCAUAUUGACUCUCAUCCAGGGCCAAGGCUUUGGUCAUGGCUGUUACCGCCCCCUGCGGAAGGUGAUGUGGGGGAGAGUUCAGUCCAGGGAAGUUGAGGUUCCUCCUGUUCUCACCUCCAACCAGGGGGUGUCAAGCUGGGGCCUCAGAAUGGGGUAGCCAUGCCUUCCCCGAGGGCUUCUAUGGGAUGCCCCAGGCUCUGUUUCCUGGGAGGCACUGGCUGCGGGUUGUCAUGCCUCAGGGCUGAAGUCCUUGAAGGCCCUGGUGGGGAGUGAAGGAAGGGGCAGGGUACCUUGGUGGCCACAUAGGGAACUGCCUGGACCUGGCCAAUGGCCCCGACCAGACUGGAGAUGUUGAUGAUGUUCCCCUGGCUCUUCCGCAGGUGGGGGAGGGCAAGCUGGGGAGACAGAAGGCCAAGUAAGUCACCUGAGCCCCUAGAGCUGCCCCCAGCCACACUGAAACACACCCUGAUGUCUGGGACAAUGGCCGUUGCUCUGGCACAGACGCCGGACUACUCGGGACCGUAAACUCCACACGGGCAAAGACCACGCGGUGCGUCCCCAGCACCCACAACGCUGCCCGACACCUCCCGAAUGCUCAGGAUUUGGUGAAUAACUAGAUGAAUGAGCGGAAGUCAGAUGCUUAACCAGCUGAGCCACCCGGGAGCCCCUAUACUACUCUAUUUUUUUUUUUUUAAUUUUA